UCCUGAAUUAUUGGGCGUAAAGAGCUCGUAGGCGGCCUGUUGCGUCCGCUGUGAAAUCCCCCGGCUCAACCGGGGAACGGGCACCGAUACGGGCGGCCUCGAGGGGGGUAGGGGGACCUGGAACUUCCGGUGGAGCGGUGAAAUGCGUUGAGAUCGGAAGGAACGCCCGUGGCGAAAGCGAGGUCCUGGACCCUUUCUGACGCUGAGACGCGAAAGCCAGGGGAGCGAACGGG
rnacentral:rRNA from 1 species